rnacentral:rRNA from 1 species
UACGUAGGGUGCGAGCGUUAAUCGGAAUUCCUGGGCGUAAAGCGUGCGCAGGCGGUCUGUUAAGACCGAUGUGAAAUCCCCGGGCUUAACCUGGGAACUGCAUUGGUGACUGGCAGGCUUUGAGUGUGGCAGAGGGAGGUAGAAUUCCACGUGUAGCAGUGAAAUGCGUAGAGAUGUGGAGGAAUACCGAUGGCGAAGGCAGCCUCCUGGGCCAACACUGACGCUCAUGCACGAAAGCGUGGGGAGCAAACAGG